rnacentral:snRNA from 1 species
GUGCUCGCUUCAGCAGCACAUAAACUAAAAAUGGACCAAUACAGAGAAGAUUUGCAUGGCCGCUGCAAAAAGAUGACACACAAAUUCAUGAGGCAUUACAUUUUUUU